GGGCUUUACUGUCUCUUACUUCCAAUCCGUGAAAUUGACCUUCCCGUGAAGAGGCGGGAAUAUGACAAUAAGACGAGAAGACCCUAUGGAGCUUUAAUUAACCGACCCAAAGAGAUCUUGAUAAUCAACCGACAGGGAUAACAUACCUCUACCAUGGGCCGACAAUUUAGGUUGGGGUGACCUCGGAGAAUAAAACAACCUCCGAGUGAUUUAAAUCUAGACUAACUAGUCGAAAGUACUACAUCACUUAUUGAUCCAAAAACUUGAUCAACGGAACAAGUUACCCUAGGGAUAACAGCGCAAUCCUAUUUUAGAGUCCAUAUCGACAAUAGGAUUGCGCUGUUAUCCCUAGGGUAACUUGUUCCGUUGAUCAAGUUUUUGGAUCAAUAAGUGAUGUAGUACUUUCGACUAGUUAGUCUAGAUUUAAAUCACUCGGAGGUUGUUUUAUUCUCCGAGGUCACCCCAACCUAAAUUGUCGGCCCAUGGUAGAGGUAUGUUAUCCCUGUCGGUUGAUUAUCAAGAUCUCUUUGGGUCGGUUAAUUAAAUCUCCAUAGGGUCUUCUCGUCUUAUUGUCAUAUUCCCGCCUCUUCACGGGAAGGUCAAUUUCACGGAUUGGAAGUAAGAGACAGUAAAGCCCUCGUGUGGCCAUUCAUACAAGUCCCUAUUUAAGGAACAAAUGAUUAUGCUACCUUUGCACGGUCAGGAUACCGCGGCCGUUUAACUGAUGUCACUGGGCAGGCAGUGCCUCUAAUACUGGAAAUGCUAGAGGUGAUGUUUUUGGUAAACAGGCA
rnacentral:rRNA from 1 species